rnacentral:rRNA from 1 species
UGCGUAGGCGGCGCAAUAAGUCAGAGGUGAAAUCCUACAGCUUAACUGUAGAACUGCCUUUGAAACUGUUGUGCUCGAAUAGAGUUGAGGUUAGCGGAAUGUGACAUGUAGCGGUGAAAUGCAUAGAUAUGUCAUAGAACACCAACUGCGAAGGCAGCUAACUGGGCUUUUAUUGACGCUGAGGCACGAAAGCGUGGGGAGCGAACAGGAUUAGAUACCCUGGUAGUCC